rnacentral:rRNA from 1 species
CUCCAAGGCUAAAUACUCCUGACUGACCGAUAGUGAACCAGUACCGUGAGGGAAAGGCGAAAAGAACCCCGGCGAGGGGAGUGAAAAAGAACCUGAAACCGUGUACGUACAAGCAGUGGGAGCACCCUUUGGGGUGUGACUGCGUACCUUUUGUAUAAUGGGUCAGCGACUUAUAUUCUGUAGCAAGGUUAACCGAAUAGGGGAGCCGGAGGGAAACCGAGUCUUAAUUGGGCGUUAAGUUGCAGGGUAUAGACCCGAAACCCGGUGAUCUAGCCAUGGGCAGGUUGAAGGUUGGGUAACACUAACUGGAGGACCGAACCGACUAAUGUUGAAAAAUUAGCGGAUGACCUGUGGCUGGGGGUGAAAGGCCAAUCAAACCGGGAGAUAGCUGGUUCUCCCCGAAAGCUAUUUAGGUAGCGCCUCGUGAAUUCAUCUCCGGGGGUAGAGCACUGUUUCGGCUAGGGGGCCAUCCCGGCUUACCAACCCGAUGCAAACUGCGAAUACCGGAGAAUGUUAUCACGGGAGACACACGGCGGGUGCUAACGUCCGUCGUGAAGAGGGAAACAACCCAGACCGCCAGCUAAGGUCCCAAAGUCAUGGUUAAGUGGGAAACGAUGUGGGAAGGCCCAGACAGCCAGGAUGUUGGCUUAGAAGCAGCCAUCAUUUAAAGAAAGCGUAAUAGCUCACUGGUCGAGUCGGCCUGCGCGGAAGAUGUAACGGGGCUAAACCAUG